rnacentral:rRNA from 1 species
GAUUUCUGACAGACCGUUGCGGCCCGUGCUCGUUUCGGGCGUGUGUGCCGUGUCGUGUUUGUCAUCCUUCCAGAGAGCUGCGUCUACCAUUUACUUGGCCGGACGUACGCGAUCUGGAUCGAUUACUUUGAAAAAAUUAGAGUGUUUAAAGCAGGCUUACGCUAUGAAUACAUUAGCAUGGAAUAAUAAUAUAGGACUUCGGUUCUAUUUUGUUGGUUUUCGGGACUGAAGUAAUGAUUGAUAGGGAUAGUUGGGGGUGCUAGUAUUCAGUGGCCAGAGGUGAAAUUCUUGGAUUCACUGAAGACUAACUACUGCGAAAGCAUU